rnacentral:rRNA from 1 species
UACAGAGGUCUCAAGCGUUGUUCGGAAUCAUUGGGCGUAAAGGGCUCGUAGGCGGACUAGUAAGUCUGGCGUGAAAUCUCCACCGCUCACCGGGGAGAGGUCGCAGGAUACUGCUAGUCUUGAGUUCGGUAGAGGGUCGUGGAAUUUCGGGUGUAGCGGUGGAAUGCGUAGAUAUCCGAAAGAACACCGGUGGCGAAGGCGGCGACCUGGGCCUGAACUGACGCUUAGGAGCGAAAGCUAGGGGAGCAAACGGG